rnacentral:rRNA from 1 species
GAUGAACGCUGGCGGCGUGCCUAACACAUGCAAGUCGAACGGACAGACGCUGAGCUUGUGCCUUUGACGUUAGCGGCGGGCGGGUGAGUAACGCGUGGAUCACCUACUUCUCUUUCGGGGAUAACUUCGGAAAACCGGAUAUAAUACCAGAUAAUAUGUUGUACCGCUGGGUUCAUUAGUGAAUGACGGUUUUGCUGUCUCUAAUAGAUGGAUCCGGGCCGGAUUAGCUAGUUGGUAGGGUAACGGCCUACCAAGGCUACGAUGCGUAGCCGAACUGAGAGGAUGAUCGGCCACACUGGAACUGAAACACGGUCCAGACUCCUACGGGAGGCAGCAGUAGGGAAUAUUCGGCAAUGGGCGAAAGCCUGACGCAGCCACGCCGCGUGAGUGAAGAAGGCCUUCGGAUCGUAAAGCUCUGUUAUUGGGGAAGAACAGAUGUGGAAUUAAACAUGGACGUCUUGACGGUACCUAAUCAAAAAGCCACGGCUAACUACGUG